CCCCUCCCUCCCGCGCGCCUCCUCUCCUCCCGCCCACAUCGCCGCCGCCGCCACCGCCACCCACCGCCUCAAACCACGCCGUCGGCAUCCAUCCACUGCUCCGGUGCCGUCCAGAUGCGCCGCAACAGAGCCCCCCAACCCUCCCUCUCGUCUGCUCCACUUACGCCGCCUGAUUCCGGUGAGCCCCGACAUCUCCGCCACUGUGCAGCACAGCGCCAAGCUCACGUCGCUCCACUGCGUCCUCUCCUCCUGCUGGAUUCGCCGCUCAUAGCCCCCUACCCGUGACCCUGCCCCGUGGUUAGGGUUUUGGGUGUUGGCUCCAACACCAACGACUAUGUCAGAGGACGAGUUGGGUGAGGGUAUGAUCAUGGUGGCGGCCAGAUCCACCAUGGCUGCAAGUCCUUAUUGUUCGUCCGUGGAUCUUUGGGUCAUCUGAAGGGCAUGUGAUCCUCUGUUGGUGGAGUGUUGGUGUUUUUGUUGCUUUCAGUCUAGCUAGGCUCCAAGGAAGGGCCUUUUUGGAUCUGUCUUAUUCUCUUUCUAGCUUCUUGUCCAGGGGAGCAUUGGAUCUAGCGGCAUCUUGGUGAAGAAGAGGACGGGAGUAGCUUAGGGAGGAAGAUGACACUGGCAACCUGCAGUGUAAGAGGCUGACGAUGCCGCCGUUGAUGAUCUCCGGCAGUAGCUAUUCAGGAUGUGGACGUUGCAAGUAGCAGCUCCGACUCGGCGGCGUGGGUGUGCGGUGUAGGAAGCGGUUCCUCUCCGGUUGGACGGCGUUCAGGCGCAACCCCGGUGCCCACUGAGUACUGCCUCGGCUACAACCUCCCUCGGUGAACUCCAUCUUCCGCCUGCUCCUCUGCUUUGGCUACUGUUGGGACAUGGCUGUGGCUGUGUUGAUGUGGUGCUGGUUGGUUGAUGCUUUAUGCCCUACUCAUGCAUAGGUUUUGCAUGCUGUUGUUCAUGUUAUAGUUGUUAUCAUAGGAGCUCCCGUGAUGCUCUGGUUUACAUGUGGAUCCCCUGAUCCUAUAGCUAUGCUCAUGGAUUUGCUAAGUUGAUCAAUGGCAGUGCUGAUUUCCUAUUUGCAAACUGCCAAAUGAUCUCUUGCUCAUAGCCACAUCUACAUUGUAGUGUGUAAUUUGGUGUUGUCUGGGAUAGCUGAUCUACCACCACUUGAAUGGGCUGAUAGGUGAUGCCACUGGAGCUGCUAGCCCUGCGGAGCUUUCUAGAGCAUCCAGAAAUAAGAGAAGGAUGUCUCACCAAGCCUCCUUAGAGCUCAGACGAAUCCGGCCGUCCGAUCGAUUUCCUUGAUGCGUUUCCGGUCGUUGGAUCGAGCGGUGGGAGGAUCUGGGCCGUCGGAUCGAGCCCGCGCGACUGUGGCAAUGAAUAGUUACACUCCGAGCUUGCCACCGCGUGUAAAACUGGGUAGUCGCCGAGGGCAUUUUCGUCGUUUCACAUGGUCGAACAGCCGGCCGGUCCGAGGCCAUUCUUGCCAGGGCGAUGAUGAUUGACCAUGGCUAAUAUAAGUGUGCCUUUGAGCAAUCGAGGCACCUGUGGAUAUCAAGUUGAAUCCUCCCUCUUGUCUCUAGAAUCCUUUUUGAUCAUGUGAUACUUAUUUUUCUGUCCUUGGAUGGUCAUUCUUUUUGAGUGAUAACCAGGACAGCUCCACUAUAUAAACAGAUUGAUCUGGUGAUAAGAGAUGACGGGGGUAGGUUAUAUGAUCGAGGAAAGGUGAAUCUGAGCCCACCAUGCAACGAAUGCUGAACCUUUUUUAUUUGUGUUUAAAGGUGUUGCUUAUUUAUGCUCCAGUGUUUAUAGCCGUCUUAUGUGAAGAUUUCUUCUCUCUCAUACCUUUAUUGCAUUGUUCUUGAUCUUUUAUUGUUUGUUGUUGGUCCUUGAUUUAACCUGGUUAAGAUUUCUUCUCUCUCUUAUGUAAAUAUUUCUUCUCUCUCAUACCAAUGUUUUGUCCAUGUAGUAAUAGAUAUAUAUUUACAUGGAAAAAGGGGUCUGUUCUAAACAUUUUCCAAAGGAUUUUCAGAACAAGACAACUAUUGAUGAAAAUGGUUUUGCUUUGUAUAGGCGUCGUGAAAAUGGGCGACGAUAGUUCUUAUGAUUGCAUCUUCUGGUGUCGCGGCUUUGCUGCUUGCUGGUGGUAGAACAGCUGACUCUUGAUUUAAAAUACCGUUGCAGAUUGACCAGACUACUCUUUGUGACAUCAAAAGAGGCACACAUCUGUGUAAUCUUUUGAAAGAUACUUCUUUAAUCAUCUGGUAUGUAGCACUUAUCACAAACAUUAGGUGUUUGGAAUGUCUGGACAGAACUUUGUGUGAUCUUUUUUCAUUUGACGAUCAUUUGCUUGCUGAUGUUCCGUUUGGUUUUCAAUAUAGCUAGCUAUCGGAUGGAGAUUUUAGUUUUUGCAACACCCUGAUCGGAUGAUUGUUGUAGGUCUGUAGGUAGAGUAUGCAUCCGAUAUACUAAUGAGAAUGCUCAGAUCACAUGAUUUGCAAUGUUGGUUUUAAAUGGCGUCAAGUUGCACAUUCUAUUUAUUUGGGAAGUUGUCAUUGAUGCUUCUGUUGGGGAUCAAAAUUCGGAUAUGUGUCUUUCUAUUUUCUAAGAUGGUCUUUGCAUUCUUGUGUUCUAGCUUGCAUGCCUAGCAGUAUACUUUUCACCCUGCUUUGAUUUAUGACCAGUGGAUUACUAAAGAAGAGGAACUCAUGUUAGUUUUCAGUAUUUAUGACCAGUGGAUUAGUAAAGAAAAGGAACUCGUGUUUGCUUUCAGCUUUGCAGAGCUUCAGAUAUGUUUCUGAGUUAAAUUUAGUCUUUCAAUUGAUAGCAGACCAUGGCAUCUUAAACCUCCUUGGUUUCCUUGUUGUUAAAUGUUAACCGAACUAACAAUUACUGAAAAAUAGCUUUAAGGAGCGUUCCAGUGCACAAUGAAAAUACGGCAGUGUCCCAAUUUAUAGGCAUUAUAGGGCUGUUUGCAUGGUGGCUGACGGUUGCCACACGAAAAUUUUCGCUUGGUUGACAGUAUUAUAAGCAGUUUUUCUGUUUGUCUCAGCUUGUUUUUGCUUGAUAAGUGACCGAUUUGGGUUUGACGAAUAGUUGUACUAUGGGCAGUAUAUACGGAAUGUGGAUCUCUGGGUUGUUGUGAUAGCUAUUCGAUUGGGUACUGUCGCAUCUCAGGUUCAGAUGUUUUGGAUGUUUGGCUGAUCUGACGCUGUUAGUUUAGGCUCAUCUUUGCUCCAACAAUUGGCAGUAUAUAACGCCCUCACCCCUGCUUAUCUCACCUAACUGAUUCUAUCUUUCUUGCACUCAAGAUUCAUUGGUGCGUGCUCCCCCUGUUACUCGGUGCUUUGGAGAAGGAGAGGCAUGGUCUCCACCAAAAACAGAGGAGGAAGAAGUAAGAUGCUGCUAGCCCCCCGUGGCCUGCUACAUCUCCAAUCAGCACUUGCAACAAGGGAACCACAUCCCUGGCCUCUCCAUGCCUCCCCAAGCGCCAACCUGUAGGCUACAACAAGAAGGUUAUCAAAAGGGAAUUGUGUAUGGCUGUUGACAAUCCAGAUUGUGGGCAGCUAAGAGGUUAGAAUUACUCAUGAACAUUUCUGAUAUCGGCGUGAUGGCUAAGGUCGAGGCUGCCACAUACUGUACCACCGUCGCGCCCAACGUCGAGGAGUGCAGCAGCACCGUGGCCAGGGCCAUCACGUCCGGUGCCAAGAACGUGGCCAAGGGGAUCAUGUAGUGCGGGGUGGUAACCGUGGACAGGCUCCACUGGGCGAACGAGGUCAGCCCGGAGAUGCUCGGGCAUAUCAAAAUGUAGUGCUUUCUUUCUCAAUUUUCACAUCAAAUGUGUUCCUAAUUUGCAGUCAAGCAAACUUAUUCAGUAGGAUUUGUGAUGCAUAAAUUAGUAGACGAUUUUGGGUUAAUCCUGGUUGUGGUGGUGCAGGCUUCAUGUACGUAUAUGUGACUAUUUGCUUUUGAUGAACUUGAAGACAACCGUUAAGGUAUU